UGUUGUUGCAAUAGUAUUCCUGUUCAGUAGGAGAGGAACUGCAGAUUCAGACCCCUGGUGCAUGCAUUUCGCUGAGGAGCCACUGACAUGAGGCUACCAUCUGCAGGCUUAUGACUGAAUGCCUCUAAGUCAAAACCCCACCUAGACGUAGCAAUACCAUGGUGCCACCAGCACCUCAUUGGGCUCGUGAUAGUCUCCUGCCUGCCCCACAUGGGGCGGGCCCGGUGUGAACCACUGCUCGUGGUUGAGACUGGAGAGGUGGACAGAUGUGGCGCUGCCUCUCCUCUGUCAUGUACCACAUGAUCAUGGGGCACCCAGUGCUAAAUCAUUCAUAGACAACCAGAAUCUGGGUCAGGGUUUCAUACGUAGCAGACCUGCUCCCUUGCUGUGAUCUAUUGAGAAUCACCUGUCAACACAAGCUUU
rnacentral:ncRNA from 1 species